UGAUGAACUACCAGCAAGAGAAUUAAAAGCGCUUCUUCAAAGAAGGCACAACAUAAGAAUCUGUUUAAACUCGAUUCGUUCCAAUGACCCGGGGAAAAAAAACAAAGACUUGCGUCUAAUCCAGCUCAAGAAUGGAAGGCUGCUGGUGAAAAGUGUGAUGUUCUCUUCACUGACGAGUGUGUGUUUUCCAGUCAAACUGCAUGUUUGGGGUGGGAUCAUUUUUGACGGUAUUAUGGAUCAACACUUCUACGCGGAAGAGAGACAAAAAAAUCCAUCCAUUUAUACUUAAGGGAGCGUUUCCGUAUGUCUA